rnacentral:rRNA from 1 species
UACGUAGGGGGCAAGCGUUGUCCGGAAUUACUGGGCGUAAAGCGUGCGCAGGCGGCUUUGCAAGACAGAUGUGAAAUCCCCGGGCUUAACCUGGGAACUGCAUUUGUGACUGCAUGGCUGGAGUGCGGCAGAGGGGGAUGGAAUUCCGCGUGUAGCAGUGAAAUGCGUAGAUAUGCGGAGGAACACCGAUGGCGAAGGCAAUCCCCUGGGCCUGCACUGACGCUCAUGCACGAAAGCGUGGGGAGCAAACAGG